CCUACCCCUCCCCCCUCCCCAAAAAAACGGUGUCUUACAAGCCUAGACACCUCUCAUCUCUCCUUACUGUGUAUCUGCCAUCCCCCGAUACCGAAAAUUGCCCAUGGCGGUGGCACAACCCAAAAUCCACCAAAAUCUUCACCCCACAAUCCCAAGACUCUCCCCAGUCCCAAUGUACCGUUGAUUUCACCAGAAAACCCCUCAAAAGCAUUGAAUAGCAGAUCUAGGUUUUUGACCGAAAACCUAAAUUAGUCUUUUUCUCGAUUUUCUUUCAAAUCUUGUUCUGUGAGUUUGAAAUCGAUAUCCAUCAAUUGCUCUUGACAAGAGCAAUCGAGUGAUGGUAGUUUUAACUCAUUGCAUAAACAUCGGAGCUCGGUCAAAACGCUGUUGACCAGCUAGUGGCUCUUCAAUGUCCCAGUUAAGCUCAUUCCCGGCUUGCUGGAGAUCCUUUUAUCAACCUGUUGAAACCUAGUAGUUGUUGUUUAGUGCCGCUUGAUUCAACAGAGAACUCAGGGCAAUGAAGCGCACGCCUCAGCCUUACACACUGAAGUGCAACUAAAGCGAGGUGUAGCCCGCUCCUCGAGCUUUUCUGAGCUUCUGGGAAGCGUGCCUUAAAUGAGCCUUUGACAACACUGGCUUGCAUGUCUACUUGUUUCAGUAUUUUCUUUUAUUUCCUAGCCUGUUAUACUGUAUUGAUAAUGCUUUCAUAUGUGUGGUUUCCACAAACUGAGGCUGCAAUCAUUCCAUUUCUGCGUGGAUGAUGGUCGAGAACAAAGAUUGUUGAUUUUCCACUGCAGGCUAAGUAGUGUCUUAUAGCUUCUGAAAAAAUGGUUGAAAAGCAAAUGUUUACCACCCUUUUGGCAAAAUAGUUAAUCAGAAAUUAUGAUCUGUCGGUA